ACGGGGGGUGCGAGCGUUGUCCGGAAUCACUGGGCGUAAAGGGCGCGUAGGUGGUCUGAUAAGGGUGUGGUGAAAGCCCGGGGCUCAACCCCGGGUCGGCCGUGCCGACUGUUAGACUAGAGUGCUGUAGGGGCAGGCGGAAUUCCGGGUGUAGCGGUGGAAUGCGUAGAGAUCGGGAAGAACAUCAGUGGCGAAGGCGGCCUGCUGGGCUGUUGCUGACGCUGAGGCGCGACAGCGUGGGGAGCAAACAGGA
rnacentral:rRNA from 1 species